AUGGGUUUGUUAUGAUUGUGAUAAGCGAGUAUGUUCUAAGAAGCACAAGUCCAGCGUUCGGUUUGAUUAGCUGGGUACUGUAAUGAUAACUUCCGCUAGAUUCUUAAUUAAUUUUAACCUAUUGUAAAUUUUUAUUUAGGGUAAUAAUAGGGCUAAUAAACACAUUUCAAUGUAAAGGCCUUUAGAAAAUAAAUAAA